AGAGUUUGAUCAUGGCUCAGGAUGAACGCUGGCGGUAUGCUUAACACAUGCAAGUCGUACGAAGAUAAAAUUAUGCUUGCAUAAUUUUAUACUUAGUGGCGGACGGGUGAGUAACACGUAAGAACCUACCUUUUGGCGAGGGACAACCACUGGAAACGGUGGCUAAUACCUCAUAUUGCUGAGAAGUGAAAGAUGAAUAAUCACCAAAAGAUGGUCUUGCGUCUGAUUAGCUAGUUGGUGAGGUAAUAGCUUACCAAGGCGAUGAUCAGUAGCUGGUCUGAGAGGAUGAUCAGCCACACUGGGACUGAGACACGGCCCAGACUCCUACGGGAGGCAGCAGUGAGGAAUUUUCCGCAAUGGGCGAAAGCCUGACGGAGCAAUACCGCGUGAAGGAUGAAGGCCUAUGGGUCGUAAACUUCUUUUCUCAGAGAAGAAUUUUGACGGUAUCUGAGGAAUAAGCAUCGGCUAACUCUGUGCCAGCAGCCGCGGUAAGACAGAGGAUGCAAGCGUUAUCCGGAAUGAUUGGGCGUAAAGCGUCUGUAGGUGGUUUACCAAGUCUUCUGUCAAAGAUCAGGGCUUAACUCUGGGCAGGCAGGAGAAACUAUUAGACUAGAGUUCGGUAGGGGCAGAGGGAAUUCCCGGUGGAGUGGUGAAAUGCGUAGAUAUCGGGAGGAACACCAAAGGCGAAAGCACUCUGCUGGGCCGCAACUGACACUGAGAGACGAAAGCGAGGGGAGCAAAUGGGAUUAGAUACCCCAGUAGUCCUCGCUGUAAACGAUGGAUACUAGGUGUUGGGUAGAUUCAAAUCACUCAGUACCGUAGCUAACGCGUGAAGUAUCCCGCCUGGGGAGUAUGCUCGCAAGAGUGAAACUCAAAUGAAUUGACGG
rnacentral:rRNA from 1 species